rnacentral:rRNA from 1 species
AGAGUUUGGAUCCUGGCUCAGGACGAACGUUGGCGGUGCGCUUAAUGCAUGCAAGUCGAGGGAGAACCAUUCGAUCCGUAAGGACUGGAUGGGGAAACCGGCGAACGGGUGCGUAACACGUGAGGAACCUGCCCCGAAGACCGGGAUAGCCCGAGGAAACUCGGAUUAAUACCGGAUACCCUCUUUGGACCACAUGGUCCGCUGAGGAAAUGGUCCGCCGCUUCGGGAUGGCCUCGUGGCCUAUCAGCUUGUUGGUGAGGUAACGGCUCACCAAGGCAAAGACGGGUAGCUGGUCUGAGAGGACGAUCAGCCACACUGGGACUGAGACACGGCCCAGACUCCUACGGGAGGCAGCAGCAGGGAAUAUUGCACAAUGGGCGAAAGCCUGAUGCAGCGACACCGCGUGCGGGAUGAAGGCCCUCGGGUUGUAAACCGCUUUCAGGAGGGACGAAAAUGACGGUACCUCCAGAAGAAGGCCCGGCCAACUACGUGCCAGCAGCCGCGGUAAUACGUAGGGGCCAAACGUUGUCCGGAUUUGUUGGGCGUAAAGGGCUCGUAGGCGGUUCAACAAGUCGAUCGUGAAAGCCCGGGGCUCAACCCCGGGACGCCGGUCGAAACUGUUGUGACUAGGGUCCGGUAGAGGUGAGUGGAAUUCUCGGUGUAGCGGUGGAAUGCGCAGAUAUCGAGAGGAACACCAGU